rnacentral:rRNA from 1 species
UACGAAGGGGGCUAGCGUUGUUCGGAAUUACUGGGCGUAAAGGGCGCGUAGGCGGCCUCGUCCGUCCGGCGUGAAAUGCCUGGGCUCAACCUAGGAAUUGCGCUCGAUACAGCGAGGCUAGAGUGUGGGAGAGGUUGGUGGAAUUCCCAGUGUAGAGGUGAAAUUCGUAGAUAUUGGGAAGAACACCGGUGGCGAAGGCGGCCAACUGGACCACGACUGACGCUGAGGCGCGAAAGCGUGGGGAGCAAACAGG